GCUAGUUGUACGAGUUGAGACUCGUAGCAGAUAGCUCAGUAACACGUGGCCAAACUACCCUAUAGAUCCAGACAACCUCGGGAAACUGAGGCUAAUCCGGAAUAGGGCUCUCAUCCUGGAGUGGAGAGAGCCUGAAACGCUCCGGCGCUAUAGGAUGUGGCUGCGGCCGAUUAGGUAGACGGUGGGGUAACGGCCCACCGUGCCAGUAAUCGGUACGGGUUGUGAGAGCAAGAGCCCGGAGACGGUAUCUGAGACAAGAUACCGGGCCCUACGGGGCGCAGCAGGCGCGAAACCUUUACACUGCACGCCAGUGCGAUAAGGGGACUCCAAGUGCGAGGGCAUAUAGUCCUCGCUUUUUGCGACCGUAAGGUGGUCGAGGAAUAAGUGCUGGGCAAGACCGGUGCCAGCCGCCGCGGUAAUACCGGCAGCACGAGUGAUGACCGCUGUUAUUGGGCCUAAAGCGUCCGUAGCUGGCCGCACAAGUCUAUCGGGAAAUCUCUCCGCUUAACGGAGAGGCGUCCGGUGGAAACUGUGUGGCUUGGGACCCGGAAGACCAGAGGGGUACGUCUGGGGUAGGAGUGAAAUCCCGUAAUCCUGGACGGACCACCGGUGGCGAAAGCGCCUCUGGAAGACGGAUCCGACGGUGAGGGACGAAAGCUCGGGUCACGAACCGGAUUAGAUACCCGGGUAGUCCGAGCUGUAAACGAUGUCUGCUAGGUGUGACACAGGCUACGAGCCUGUGUUGUGCCGUAGGGAAGCCGUGAAGCAGACCGCCUGGGAAGUACGUCCGCAAGGAUGAAACUUAAAGGAAUUGGCGGGGGAGCACUACAACCGGAGGAGCCUGCGGUUUAAUUGGACUCAACGCCGGACAUCUCACCAGCAUCGACAAUGUGCAGUGACGGUCAGUAUGAUGAGCUUACCUGAGCCAUUGAGAGGAGGUGCAUGGCCGCCGUCAGCUCGUACCGUGAGGCGUCCUGUUAAGUCAGGCAACGAGCGAGACCCGCACCCUUAAUUGCCAGCAGCACCCUUGUGGUGGCUGGGUACAUUAAGAGGACUGCCAGUGCCAAACUGGAGGAAGGAACGGGCAACGGUAGGUCAGUAUGCCCCGAAUGUGCUGGGCGACACGCGGGCUACAAUGGCCAAGACAGUGGGAUGCAACGCCGAAAGGCGACGCUAAUCUCCGAAACUUGGUCGUAGUUCGGAUUGAGGGCUGAAACUCGCCCUCAUGAAGCUGGAUUCGGUAGUAAUCGCGCCUCAGAAGGGCGCGGUGAAUACGUCCCUGCUCCUUGCACACACCGCCCGUCAAAGCACCCGAGUGGGGUCCGGAUGAGGCCCGGUUUCCGGGUCGAAUCUGGGCUCCGCAAGGGGGCUAAGUCGUAACCAA
rnacentral:rRNA from 1 species